rnacentral:piRNA from 1 species
UAGGAUUAAAGGUGUGCGCCACC